rnacentral:rRNA from 1 species
AUGUCAGAGAAGGACGAGAAGAUCAAAUCAUUAGUAGACAUGGGCUUUUCUGAAGAUGGAGCAAAUAUGGCUAUUACAAGAUGUGGUGUGGAUGUUGAUUUAUGGGAAUUAGUUGAUUCGAUAAGUGCACCACAAAUGACAGAAGAUAGUCAUUCCAGAAACAUAUCUGACCAUCAGGUCACAGAUCAGUGCUUUGAUUCAUUUGGAGGGGGAAAGAAAGCAAGAUUGAUGGAAGAGAGCAAGAAAAAGAGGAACCGAUAUGGAGGUAGAGCACAGGGAAAUCAACCCUCCUUGGAUGGUAGCCAUGAUGAACCAAUGCCUCUCCCAAAUCCAAUGAUUGGUUUUAAUUUGCCAGGUUAUUUGCAACCAUCAGUUACCCGAAUACUUCCUAAACAAGAUACUGGACCACCCUUUUUCUACUAUGAAAAUGUGGCCCAAGCUCCUAAAGGCGUAUGGGCAACCAUUUCAAGAUUUCUUUAUGACAUUCAACCUGAGUUUGUGGAUUCUAAGCAUUUGUGUGCAACCGCAAGGAAAAGAGGCUACAUCCAUAAUUUGCCAAUUGAGAAUAGAUCACCUCUUCUUCCUAUGCCUCCAAAGACCAUAUUUGAGGCAUUCCCUCAUUACAAGAAGUGGUGGCCUUCAUGGGACCUGAGAACACAGCUCAAUUGCUUGCGGACAAAUAUUGCAAGUGCGAAGCUGACAGAACGGAUCGGCCGUGCUCUUGCAAGCUCUGACAGUCCACCGGCUCGAAGUGUUCAAAAAUAUGUCAUGAAUGAGUGUAGAAAAGGAAAUCUUGUCUGGAUUGGAAAGAACAAGGUUGCUCCAUUGGAGCCUGAAGAGAUGGAAUAUCUACUCGGUUUCCCAAAGGAUCACACAAGGGGACUCGCAUCACGGAGAGAUACAAGUCUCUCGGCAACACAUUUCAAGUUGAUACAGUUGCUUACCACUUGUCAGUUUUGA